GCCCCUGGCCACAUUCCCCAGAGGUACAGUCACCCAUGCCCUGUCCAGCUUCACCUGGGGGCCCAACCCUUUCUGAGCCCCUGGCUGCGGUGACAGUGCACAAUGCAGAGGGAUCACAAGCCAGCCAACAGGAUGCAUGAGGCCUGCCAUGAGUUGAAUUGUGCCUCCAAAAAGGUGACACUGCAUGUGAGAAAGGCGCUGGUGGCACAGCUUCCAGGAGCUGGAAGAGGAGGUGGAAGUGAGCAGCCCACCCGCACAGCUGAGGCUGCUCUGGCACAGGAGACCCUUCCAGCAGCAGGUGUGGUGGCCCUGUGUGGGCAGUGACUGCCUUCUGGGGACAGCCCAUGUCCAUACGCCUGUGAUGGCUCAGCCCAGACCUGGUCAUGGCAAUCAUACCAGGAAUGGCACCCAGCACCCAGCAUGCUGAGGAGCUUCUGGAGAAAGGCUCUCUUGAGCCCACUGUGCAGGAGGACCCUCCUGAGCACACAGCUAGGACAGAGGAGCCAAGGGUGAAGACACGAAAGGACAGACACCCAGUCCCACGGACCAUGUCUGGGCUCCUGGGUGCAGCCGCUCCUAAAGCCCAGGCUUCUGACAGGAGGAGUCAGCAGGUUUGUUUCCGCUUACACUGGCUGGGAAUCGAGCUUCUGUCACUGUCUUUCCAACCAAUGCUCACGGCUGGCUUUUGUUUCAGAACUAUUUGCACAAAGGAAGAAACUGUUGUGUUGUUGCCAUUGCUUUUAAUCUCUUGAGGAGAGUUACAAAGAGCCACAGAGUGACAUGGUGUGGGUCCUGCCCAGUGACAUCCCUCACCCUUAGCACUGAGCUUGUGCUGUUUAAAAACUGUUUCUGCAAAUGACAAGCUACCACCUCUUCCAGACUUUCAAGAUUGGCUUUGGGCAACUGAAGUUGCUGCUGUAAUGAAGGCCAAGAAUCUACUGCAUGAAAAGGUUUUCUCCCCCACUGCACCCUCUCAACAACCUGGCCAGGCCUGUGCUUCACUGAGGCACUGGGACAGCCCGUGCACAGUGCCACCCAGGCCUGGUUCAGAGCUGGCCCUGACCCCAGGACUCUGAGCAUCUUUGGCGCUUGCAAGAGCUCCCUGGGGAAAGUUCUAGCCAUGCCAUUUGGAAAGCAACAGAGCUAUGUGAGCAUGAAAUCCUGCAUGCGAUUUACCGUAAUCAAUUUGAGAUCUUAGAAAAGAAAAUAAACAGCUUGAGAUCAAGUGGGGUAAAAAAAAAAACCUUCACAAGGCUUUGCACAGAGCCUGAGAUAAACAAACCUCAAAGGCCUAUUUCUCGACGGUUCUUGGGGCCAGGCAGGCAGUGGUUGGCAGUGCUCAGCUAGGUUUACGUCUGCCCAUGCUGUCCGCACCCUGGCUUUGGUCUGUUAGGAAUGGCUAACAAACAGGAGGCAUUGACUUUGGUACAAAGGCCAAAGAAGAGAAGCCUCCAGUGCCCAGGCAUGAGUCAGAGAACCCUCACCAGGAGGGAGGGACCACCAUGCCGUCUCCAUCACACAUCACAAUCACAAGCGCAUGUACACAAUCAAGUCACCCUUCACACAAUCUCAAACACAACCACCAACACCCAUGUCAUCUCACACCCGGCCAUACAGUGUCACCGUCUCCCAUCUACAAUCACACCACCACAAAUGUAACAUACACACACUGUAUUUGUAAAGAACUGGGGUGGAUUUUCCCAGCCCACCACUCCACUUCUCUCUAGCUGAACUGCAGUUGGUCCUAGAGACUCCGCUGUCUCUUUGUGUCAUCAGGACAUGUUUUCAACUGCCCAAAGUGGUAACAGAUUGCCCUGAAAUGGCAUCAGAGGAUUCUCUGGCAAAGCUGAAUCUGAACCCCAGAGCAGGAAGGCCCUCGGCAAUCAUCUGGUCCUGAGGUUUUUAAGCUGUGUAUGCAGGGCUGGGGCUUCUCCAAGGCAGAGGCUCAGGGGCCGUGGCUGGAGAGCAGGGGUUGGUACUGGAUUGGGAGGCUGGGGAGGGACAGCAGGGGCCUCGCCCUCCCACCUCUGCUGCUCUAAUCAAAGUCAUUCUGCUGCAUCUGCUUCACACAGUGAACUUGAGAACAAAGCUUAUUUGGGUAAAAAAAAAUCAGAUUUUGUUUUCACUACAAACAGUUUAAAAAGCACCAGCCCAACCCUUCUGGUUAGAUAAAGAACCUAAGGCACAGGCUGGGUCAGUCACACAGCUGUGGGCAACUGAGUUGUGCUGAGGACUCAGGUAUCCUGGUGCUACACUAUGACCCAGAAGUGAGUGCUUUCCCGCGACU